rnacentral:rRNA from 1 species
GAGGCAGUGGAGGGCCGAACCCACAUCCGUUGAAAAGGGUGGGGAUGAGGUGUGGGUAGGGGAGAAAUUCCAAUCGAACCCGGAGAUAGCUGGUUCUCCUCGAAAUAGCUUUAGGGCUAGCCUCGGUAUCGAGUCUUGCGGAGGUAGAGCACUGAAUUUCCUAGGGGGCGUCAAAGCCUACCGAAGAAUAUCAAACUCCGAAUGCCGCUAAGAUAUGACCGGGAGUCAGACUGCACGAGAUAAGUUGGGCAGUCAAAAGGGAAAGAGCCCAGACCUUCAGUUAAGGUCCCAAAGUGUGCGUUAAGUGGAAAAGGAUGUGGGAUCUCCAAGACAACCAGGACGUUGGCUCAGAAGCAGCCAUACAUUCAAAGAGUGCGUAAUAGCUCACUGGUCGAGAGGUCCUGCGCCGAAAAUGUCCGGGGCUGAAACGCGCCACCGAAACUAAGGAACCGAAAGGUUGGUAGAGGAGCAUUGCAUACGGGACGAAGCAGUACCGAAAGGAGCUGUGGACUGUAUGGAAGAGAGAAUGCCGGAAUGAGUAGCGAGAACAAGGUGGGAAUCCUUGUGGCCGAAUAUCCAAGGUUUCCAGGGUAAAGCUGAUCUGCCCUGGGUGAGUCGGGGCCUAAGGCGAGGACGAGAGUCGUAGCCGAUGGACAACAGGUGGAGAUUCCUGUACUGCGGUAUGACAGAACUGUGGGGACACGUAAGGAAAGCGGAAGCCGGGAAUGGAAAGCCCGGUGCAAGCGGGGUACCAGCCACUUUGGCAAAUCCGGGUGGCAAUGGGAAGCCGUGAUGCGGAGCGAAAUAAAGUAGCGAAGUCCGUGAGCCAUGCGUCAAGAAAAGCCGCUAUUGUUUGUACCGUACCCGUACCGUAAACCGACACAGGUGGAUGAGGAGAGAAUCCUAAGGCCGGCGGAAGAAGCAUUGUCAAGGAACUCGGCAAAAUGGCCCCGUAACUUAGGGAUAAGGGGUGCCUGGGAAACCAGGCCGCAGAGAAUAGGCUCAAGCAACUGUUUAGCAAAAACACAGGUCUAUGCGAAACCGAAAGGUGAGGUAUAUGGGCUGACGCCUGCCCGGUGCUGGAAGGUUAAGAGGAGAGGUUAGCGGUAACGCGAAGCUUUGAAUUUAAGCCCCAGUAAACGGCGGCCGUAACUAUAACGGUCCUAAGGUAGCGAAAUUCCUUGUCGGGUAAGUUCCGACCCGCACGAAAGGCGUAAUGAUUUGAGCGCUGUCUCGACAAUGCAUCCGGUGAAAUUGAAGUACCAGUGAAGAUGCUGGUUACCUGCGCCAGGACGGAAAGACCCCAUGGAGCUUUACUCCAGUCUGGUACUGGGAC